rnacentral:rRNA from 1 species
GUGAACGCUGGCGGUAGGCCUAACACAUGCAAGUCGAACGGCAGCACAGUAAGAGCUUGCUCUUACGGGUGGCGAGUGGCGGACGGGUGAGGAAUACAUCGGAAUCUACUUUUUCGUGGGGGAUAACGUAGGGAAACUUACGCUAAUACCGCAUACGACCUACGGGUGAAAGCAGGGGAUCUUCGGACCUUGCGCGAUUGAAUGAGCCGAUGUCGGAUUAGCUAGUUGGCGGGGUAAAGGCCCACCAAGGCGACGAUCCGUAGCUGGUCUGAGAGGAUGAUCAGCCACACUGGAACUGAGACACGGUCCAGACUCCUACGGGAGGCAGCAGUGGGGAAUAUUGGACAAUGGGCGCAAGCCUGAUCCAGCUAUACCGCGUGGGUGAAGAAGGCCUUCGGGUUGUAAAGCCCUUUUGUUGAGAAAGAAAAGCAGCAGGUUAAUACCCCGCUGUUCUGACGGUACCCAAAGAAUAAGCACCGGCUAACUUCGUG